GAGUAGUUUUAAUACGUAGGCGCCAUGGAUGGCGAAUCGCGCAUACUGCUGGUACGGGCCAGUAGUAUCCUUCGAAGAUUUCUAUCUC
rfam:Glossina morsitans morsitans, isolate Yale, WGS project CCAG01000000 data, contig: ctg10011289